rnacentral:lncRNA from 1 species
GCAAAGUGAUGUUGUCCAGAGUGGUCAAUAUUGUUUUUGUUUUUCAUUUUUCUCUACCCGGAAGUGGCUUUAAACAUGUCAGCUCCUCCGGAAGUGGAGAAGAACGCCCGGUUGUCGCAUUGAAGAGCACCUUGUGUGCUUCUGGGGCUGCAUUUUCAGAGUGCUACUGACUACCUGCAGUGCAGGGCACCUGGGGCCAGGGUAAGUGCCAUAUGCAGGCGGAGAGAUGGGAGGUAUCAAACCUCUGCUUUCUAAAUGAGGACUUGAUGCUUUUGUCAUGUUAAAGAGAGCAGACCUCUCCGGAGCUGCUUCCGGAGAAAACCGAAGUGGUAGCUGCAGUUUCCAUACAGUAAUUCUCCAAAUUUUCAUCUGUAACACAUUUACUGUGUGCCAUUUUAAUCUUCAGUUUAUCAAAAUUUAAUUUUGAGUUACUAAUUUUCUUAUGAGAAAAUUGUGAACAAUCCUCCUCAGAUAUGGCAGUAUUGCUUCAGAGUCAAACGCCCAUGCCAAUAAUUUGGGCUCCUCUUCACACCAGUCCCGAGCCAGUUGAGAGGCGCAGGGAUUAGAGAGGUGGAGACAAGCGAUGGGGAUAGCGGGGCAAAGUGAGCGUUCCUGAAGGUUUGUCCCUAAAAAACAAACCCGAGUCAGUGUGUGCUCAGGAAGCCCUGGGCUGUGUGUAUGUGUGCUUAUCAACUAGGAUUAAGAUCUAAUGAAGCCGACCAACUCUGGAAGGAACUUCCAAUCUGCUCUAAAAUGCUCUUCCUAAAAGAUAAAAGAUGUGAGGGCCCCUGAGUCUAAGCAGUCUAAGUCUGUACAAACACCCAUCAGUGCUGUGUUUAUCAGAGGUAGCAGGCGUUGGCUUACCGCAGCCUCAUGAAACUCAAUCUGCUUCCCUGGUCCUUCCUAGUAAAUAAAUGGCGUGUUGCAAGUAGCCGCAAUUGUUCUAUAAUAAAAAAAUGAAGUGCUACACCUUAAACAGACUUCAAUACUAUUACUUUAUACAUAGUCACUGUCAAAUAAACUUGAAAUAAUUUUCUCUCGGAGACGAAAUAUCUAAAUGCCCUAUGUCUUUUCAGGCAGCUGAGGGUAUCUGUUCUCUCCUCUUCCCUUUGGGGGAAAUCAGCAGAGCACAGCUUUGACUGGGCUGAAAGAGCACUGAAUCCAGGAAAGACCAUCUGAAUGAAAGUCCGACUCUGCCUGACACAAGUGCCCUUCCUUGGACAGCCCUAUUGGCUCUUCCACAACGAGGAGUUCCCGUGGCUCAAGUAACAAUUUCACGGAUUCGAGGAAGAUGAUCACAAGAGAGAAAGUUUCUUUCUGGAGCACUUGCCUGGGAAAUGAGAACAAGCCAUCUGUUUGUGCCCAUUUCCUGCCAGAGGGAUGGCGCCCAGGUAUGGAAGAUCAAAGCCCAACUGUGUGAGGAAGUAAAGACAGCUGUUAUCAAACAGCCUCCAAGAUGAGCAGACUACAUUCCAACUAUUGCCAUUUCCUGGAUCUCUACCUUAAUUCCUGCCAAGUCUGUCCAUAACAAUACCCAGACACAAGGACUUUUUCCCUAUUUAUAUUCAAAGCUACAGUAAAGUGAAGGUGUUUUCCAACAAAAACAAACACCAAAACACCCAUGAACACCUUCUUUUUCAUUUUUGUUCAUGGUUAAUUUCUACAAAAUAAUGCUCAAGACAGCAUUACGUCUCCCCCUCCUGUGUAAAUGGCAUGUUUGACAGCAUAAACUUUUAAAGCCCUUUCUGAACUUGAUUCUCAAAAAUGCUGUGUUGGUCAUUGGAAUAGAAACUUACUAAUUUUCCCCCAUCAGAAAGGAUUAGGUAGUUUCAUUUGAAUAAAAUAGUGCUGAGUCUCAUCGGAUAUAGACCCAUCUCCUUUGAGCUUCUAUUCCGAAAGCUGUUUUCAACCUCUAGGAAAUUCAUGUUCAGGUCACUUUUAGGGGCUAUAACAAGGAGAAUGAGUCUUGAUGAUUUCUCUGCUUGAGUAUGACAACCUCCCCUUUUAGCGUUAGGAUUUAAGAGACAAGAGAAUGGCAGUAUCACCAUAUAUAUUACUGACUAAACAAAGAAGGUGAAUUUGUAGCUGAAGGACUACUUUCAGGUUUCUAAAUGGAGGCAGGAGAAUUUUUAUUUUCUGCUAUGCACUGCCUCAACAACUGUAUCGCUCUCCCUUCCCUGCAUGAACUCAGACCGACACAAACUUAUUUCUCAUUUGUGCUUUUCCAGGCAAUUAUUAUUGUUGCAUAUAAAAUGAAUGUUAAACAUGUUUUCCUUUGCCUAUAAUCUGUCCCUCAUGAAAAAAAAAAGAUGUAUGUGUCUUUAAUGCUACUGAAAAAAUGCCACUAAAUGUCUUUUUGGU